UACGUAGGGGGCUAGCGUUGUCCGGAAUCAUUGGGCGUAAAGAGCGUGUAGGCGGCCCGGUAAGUCCGCUGUGAAAGUCGGGGGCUCAACCCUCGAAUGCCGGUGGAUACUGUCGGGCUAGAGUGCGGAAGAGGCGAGUGGAAUUCCUGGUGAUAGCGGUGAAAUGCGCAGAUAUCAGGAGGAACACCGAUUGCGAAGGCAGCUCGCUGGGACGUAACUGACGCUGAGACGCGAAAGCGUGGGGAGCAAACAGG
rnacentral:rRNA from 1 species